rnacentral:rRNA from 1 species
AGCGAACGUUAGCGGCGGGCCUAACACAUGCAAGUCGAGCGAGAAAGGGGGUUCGCCCCCGAGUACAGCGGCGGACGGGUGAGUAACACGUAGGUAAUUUUCCCUUGAGCGGGGGACAACGUUCCGAAAGGGACGCUAAUACCGCAUAAGUUCUUGGGUGCUUCGGCACUGGAGAGGAAAGCUAGGCCGCAAGGUCUGGCACUCGAGGAGAAGCCUGCGUCGCAUCAGCUAGUUGGUGGGGUAAUGGCCUACCAAGGCAAAGACGCGUAGCUGGUCUGAGAGGAUGAUCAGCCACACUGGGACUGAGACACGGCCCAGACUCCUACGGGAGGCAGCAGUGGGGAAUAUUGGGCAAUGGGCGAAAGCCUGA